CGUACAGGUGCUGCAUGGCUGUCGUCAGCUCGUGCUGUGAAGUGUGGGUUAAGUCCGUAACGAGCGCAACCCUUGUCCUUAGUUACCAGCACGUUAUGGUGGGCACUCUAAGGAGACUGCCGGUGACAAACCGGAGGAAGGUGGGGAUGACGUCAAGUCAUCAUGGCCCUUACGGCCUGGGCUACACACGUGCUACAAUGGUCGGUACAAAGGGUUGCCAAGGCCGCGAGGUGGAGCUAAUCCCAUAAAACCGAUCGUAGUCCGGAUCGCAGUCUGCAACUCGACUGCGUGAAGUCGGAAUCGCUAGUAAUCGUGAAUCAGAAUGUCACGGUGAAUACCGGUUCCCGGGCCUU
rnacentral:rRNA from 1 species